GGGUCAGUAGGUUGGUCGUGCCACCGGUACGUACUGGUCUCACUGAUUCCUCCUUCCUGAAGAACCGUAACGCCAUUAAUUUGGUGUUGCGGGGAAACAGGACUGUUACUUUGAAAAAAUUAGAGUGUUUAAAGCAAGCUAACGCUUGAGUACAUUAGCAUGGAAUAAUGAAAUAGGACGAUCGAUCCUAUUUUGUUGGUUUCUAGGAUUGACGUA
rnacentral:rRNA from 1 species